CCGUCGUACAAAAACCUCUGACUGUAGAGAGACACGGCUCUCUGACUUUGAAACAAACAAACUCACCAAAAUUAGUCUGUUUGUAACAUUUUGUCAGCCUGUUUUACACCUGACAACACAGUACCAAUGUUUAAUUUUUAUUUUUCCCUCAUUUGUUAUGACGUUACACAGAGUUAAAAAUGUAAAAGAGGACAAUACUUCACGAGUAGGGAAAAUGGUGAUCUGAGGAGUGUUGUAGAUACUUCCAUGUGUUUGGUUCACAAAAACUCGAAACAGAUUUUUGGGAGCAUACAUAAAUUAGUAGACCAGUUUGGUAGAGUCCUGUGGUCCAGUCUAACACAGAUGUUGUACAGGGUGGUGAAUGUCCAAUAAAGACUUUAUGGAUGAAAAGAUACAAGUGUUUAUCACACCUCUGCACCACAGAGGACCAAACAACUUUGUUAUACAGAAUGUAAUGGUGAGAAUCAAAGAGAUCUCUGGCAAUGAAUCUGAUAAACUGAGGGUAGGGGGUUUGACAUUAGAAGGAGCAGCAUGUUUGUGGAUUAUGUCACCAUAACCUGAGACUGAUAGAACGACUGCCUCAACUACUACAAUUCAACAGGAAGCUGAGUUUUUUUAUAUAAUCUAAUGAGAGAAGACAUUCUAAACAAAAGUUGUCCAGACACAUGAAACCAAAAGUACAUAAAACUAAGUAUUAACACAUCCUGAUCAAUACUCUGAUCAACUGAUUGAUCCAUUGAUGAACAGCAUCAUCAGAGUGAUCAACUCUCUGUUGGAGUCAGUCAGAGCAUUUCCAUAGAGAGCCACUUUGCAUCAGCAGCACCAUGCUCCAGUGCUCUGGGAGAGUUUAUAGUCCUGAGAGUUGAAGACUGGAUGACUGACAGCUGUCCUUCAUGACAACAGAAGCCACAGAAAUCCUCCUCAUCAAAAACAUGACUUUGAUCUCCGUCCUCAUCUGGACUCUCCUCUGCUGCUGCUUCACAGAGUCCAGAGGCCAGGUCACAGUGACUCAGCCUGGAGCAGUGAGAUCUGCUGUGGGAGGCUCCGUCACCAUCACAUGUAGAACCAGUCAGAAUGUUUAUGUUUAUAACAACAACUACCACUAUUUAGCCUGGUACCAACAGAGAGAUGGAGAAACUCCUAAACUGCUUAUUUAUGCUGCUACCAGUCGAGUAUCAGGGAUUCCAGAUCGUUUUACAGGCAGUGGAUCAAACUCUGACUUCACUCUGACCAUCAGUGGAGUCCAGGCUGAAGAUGCAGCAGUUUACUACUGUCAGAGUUUUCACUAUAUCAACAGUAAAGAUGUGUUCACACAGUGAAAAAGCAUCGUACAAAA